CGCUGUGCUAUUGCUCCUGCGACAUCUGUCACCCCAUUGCUUGCCAGGGUUGAUUCGGCUGAUCUGGCUGGCUAGGCGGGUGUCCCCUUCCUCCCUCACCGCUCCAUGUGCGUCCCUCCUGAAGCUGCGCGCUCCAUCAAAGAGGACGCCCUUCCCUGAAUAGAGAGAUGGACCGGUCUUCAGUCGAGGGUAUAGAGUAGCUGCGCUCCCCUGCUAGAAACUCCAAACAAGCUCUCAAAGAAAAUUUAUUAGAAGUACAUUCUAAUAAAAUUUAAUUGAAAAAUAUAUGAUUGUUACUGAGAAAAAUGGAAAUACUUC
rnacentral:snRNA from 1 species